AUCUCUCUCCAAAACUUUCAGACCAAAAAUCCCAAUAACGAUUCCCUCUAUUCCAGAUCAAAUCGAUUCCCCCUAGAUGAUAACUAAAACAACGUAGCUCACAUUCCAGAUCAAAAAUAACGAUUCCCCCUAUUUGAUGAGCAAAAAAAACGGAUUCCCCCCAUUUCAGAUGCAAGCAACCUAGCAAAAUCUGAAUCCCCUCACGGAGACCAAAAAUCGGCAUCUACCUCCUUGAUCUUGGUUUCAAUUCGGUAAACCCUUUGCUAUUUUCCUAGAUUAACUGUAUUUUGUGAAGAUUUCUAGGUUUUUUGUGACACCUUUAAGUCUCUUUGCUAUUUGGGGUUCUUCAGGGAGAUUCUUCAUUUUUCUUUGGACUGAAAUAGGGGGAUAGUACCCUUAUGAGAAUUUCUAUGACAUGUUUUUGAUUUUUCGAUAAAAAAAAUACACAGAAUGGACUGAAAAUUGUAGCCUCCUUGACUUUCUAUGACAUGUAUAAGCUUACUUGAAUAUGUGGCAUUGAUGGGAAGUGCACAAUGAUGGUACUUUUUUGUAUAAGGGAAAAGGAGCAGUAUUUCAGUGAGUUUGGGUCCAUAAUGGACUGAAAAUCGUAGCUUCCUUGUUUAGAUACCAAUUUCAUUUAAAAUUAAUUUGACUGCGAUUAAAUCAAAUGAAUUUUAGGUUUGGGUUUUAUUGAUCAUGAUAGUCACGGGGAAAUCCUGGGCGUUAGUAUAGAUCAUAUAAGAGGGGCUUUGAUUGUGCAUAAGCUUUGGCCGUUUGGGCAUAUUUGAUUUUUUCUUGUUUGGAUUUAUUUAUAUUUUCACAUGUGUCAUGAUGGAAAUUGUGUAGAGCAUGACUUCGCAACUUUAACUUAAUCCUCUGUUUUUUUCUUUUCUUUUGUACUGGAUUGAGGAAGUGCCUGAAUGUAUGUUUCCUCUUGUUAUGACUGAUUUACAGGACUAAUGAUGCAUCAACCUCUCCUGGAUUGUUUUCAAAAAAAAAUAGAAAGAAAUAAAGUUAACUAGAUAGUAUACAUUUACUCAUCAAAUAUUUAUAAUGUUUUAGAAAAAGUGUGAAAUAUUGUUUUCAAAAGUUGAUUUAGCUGGUGUAUGGGUCCCUUUUCAAUUAUAAUAAAAUUGUAACUUGUAGAAGAACCAUUAUCCUUGAGAUUGUAGUUUCUCAGGUUUAAAAUUUUUGGUUUUCACUUUUUAUCUAAAGUGGUUAUUCGAUUUCGUUUCAGGAUGCAAUUAAAGAAUGUGCCUGCCUGAAUGUAGCAGUUAUCUAAAUUUUGGUUUUACCUAUGUAGCAGUUGUCUUCCUGAAUUAUUUACAGUUUAUGCCCCUGCCUAUACAUAUGAAAGACACAACAUGGUGCUGCGGAUUAACUAUUUGGUCCAGUUGAAAGGAUAUUGGAUUGUCUAACAAUGUUUGAUGAUUAACAAUUUGGUCCAGUUGAAAGGAUAUUGGAUUGUCUAACAAUGUUUGAUGGUUUUGUGGCUUGGGCUGUUUUAGUUUUUGGAUAUUUUGGCAUCUGUUGUAUUGGUUUCCUGACUAUUUAUUACAUUAGGUGAUUUUAAUGUGUGAUAAUUUAGUUUUCCUUUCCCUAGUUAUUAUCUUAAGAUCUUUAGGAUGUGAGUUUGUUGAAUGGAGAUAAGGGACUCAACUCUAUUUGUGUAUGAAUGUGUAGGAACAUCUAAAGUACCCUUUAUUGAUUAUUCCUCACUACCAGAAAUAAGCUCUAAAUGUGUUAUAGUGCC
rnacentral:lncRNA from 1 species